rnacentral:rRNA from 1 species
UGGGGCAGCAGGACGGUAGCAAUACCGUUGCUGGCGACCGGCAAACGGGUGCGGAACACGUACACAACCUUCCUUUAAGUGGGGAAUAGCCCGGGGAAACCCGGAUUAAUACCCCGUAACAUAUAGAAGCGGCAUCGCUUUUAUAUUAUAGCAGCAAUGCGCUUGAAGAUGGGUGUGCGGCUGAUUAGCUAGUUGGCGGGGUAACGGCCCACCAAGGCAACGAUCAGUAACUGGUGUGAGAGCACGACCAGUCACACGGGCACUGAGACACGGGCCCGACUCCUACGGGAGGCAGCAGUAAGGAAUAUUGGUCAAUGGACGAAAGUCUGAACCAGCCAUGCCGCGUGGAGGAUGAAGGUCCUCUGGAUUGUAAACUUCUUUUAUUUGGGAAGAAAUCUAUCUUUUCUUGGAUAGUUGACGGUACCAGAUGAAUAAGCACCGGCUAACUCCGUGCCAGCAGCCGCGGUAAUACGGAGGGUGCAAGCGUUA